AGGCAGAGUUCAUCUCAGCCUAUGCUACCCUCCAGUCCCUCGACUUGGCGCUGACGGAAACAUGGAUUACCACAGCUGAGGCGCAACACGCCGCACAAGGAGCAGAAGCCAGCACCUGGAGGCAGUACUACACCUGUAGAAGGAUAAACCAGGGAUGGCACGGGCAAGGGUUAGGUUUUGAAUAUAAUUGUGUUUCAUAUCAACUAGCUUGUUUUACGGUGCACAGGCCUAUCUCCUGUUCAUCCCUCUCCUUCUGAUGAUGUUAUUAUAUUUAGGUGUAGUACUUAAAAUUGCCUGUAGAUGUCCUCCUAAGAUCAUAAAUAGACUAAAAUGAGUUCUAAAAUGCCUUUUUCUGUGUGACAGUACAGGAGCUGAUGUGGUGAGAUUAAUUCAACCAGUGUUGUUAAAUAUGAACAUAAAAGCAAUAUUGUGCAUUUAGUUGGUUUUAUUGUUUUAUUCUGUUAAAAGAAUGAGAUUAAGAGAGGUGGAUGGUUUGAUGUGGUCUGUGAGGGUUGGAUGAAUGGGAGAGAGGACUGCCAAUGUGUUUUUUUUUUAAUGGUUCUUAAAAAUCGUUUUGAAUAUCCUCUUCUUCUGAUUGCAUUGAAUAGUGUAUUUAUUGCAUAAUCCAGGUCUUGCUUGCAAGAUGAUAUCCUGUAGAACCGUAUGAUUUGUGAUUUUAUUAUUCCCUUAAAUGUAUGUUUAGGAUGGUAACUGUGUUUAUGGAGUAAAGCAUGUGUGUCUGUUGGUUUGAAGUAGACUCUAGUGUGUAGUGUUUUCUGUGGUUGAUUGUUAUUACUGAAAAACACUGUUGUGUCUAAGAAGUUGACUUCUUGCGGAUGAAUUGUGUAUUUAACCUUAAUUGAUGAAUGAUGGCUGUUGAGAAUGUUCAUAAAGUCUGUGAAUAAUUGGAUGUCGUGGGGCCAGGCUCCUAUUAUGUCGUCUAAAAACCGGUAAUAAAAAGUGGGUUGAUAUGGACACUUGGCCAGUGCCUCUCUCUCCCAUUCAGCCAUGUAUAUGUUGGCGUAAGCAGGUGCGAAUUUUUUGCCCAUAGCUGUUCCCUCCACCUGCAGGUAAUAGUGAUCGUUGAAUAAAAAGUCAUUGCUAGUCAGGCUGAUUUCUAAUAGUUGUAAUAUUUCUGUGUCCGGUCUAGUGUUGUCUGGGUAUCUCUUAAAGAUAUUUCUAAUUGCUUGUAUUCCUGUUGCUGUAUUUAUAUUAGUAUACAGGCUAUUUCUAAUUUAGAAAUGUAGUUUUUGUUUAAAAUCCCUUGGAAAAUUACAGUUACACCUCCUAACUCUUCCAUUGGCUGUCAACAAUCUUUAUGAAUAGGUUUCAACCGUCAUCUGUUACCGGGCAGAUCAUUUUGGCUCAGUCAAUCAUUUGCCAGUCUGAGGAGAGGUGUCAUGAUGUGUGUACACGUGACAUCAUCGUCUUUUUUAUUUUUCCUCUGGGAAUAAUAGCUAUAUCGUCCACUCCACAUGGCAUUGUUGUGAAUGUGUCAACAAAACGGACUCAUUUGGAAAAUAAGCCAGUAGUGCUGCAUUCCACUCCGCAGGCCAUACAGACGCUUCACACCGCGUGGCCGCUGCCACUCUAACCUGGUGGUCCC